rnacentral:rRNA from 1 species
UACGUAGGGGGCAAGCGUUGUCCGGAUUUAUUGGGCGUAAAGAGCUCGUAGGUGGUUCGGUAAGUCGGAUGUGAAAUCUCCAGGCUCAACCUGGAGGGGUCAUUCGAUACUGCCGUGACUAGAGGUCGGUAGGGGAGUGUGGAAUUCCGUGGUGGAGCGGUGAAAUGCGCAGAUAUCAGGAGGAACACCCGGUAGCGAAGGCGGCACUCUGGGCCGAUACUGACACUGAGGAGCGAAAGCGUGGGGAGCGAACAGG